rnacentral:ncRNA from 1 species
AUAUAAGCGUUGAUGAAGAGGAGUAUAUAUUAUGAACAUGUCAGAGAGCUGAUGGAUGGUGCAAAUCAGUAUGGAAUGGACUUCGGAGCUUCCAAACCGAACCGAAAGAAGUAGGCUUUGGCGACAUGAUCUCAUCGAUAUAAGAGACACGUAUUAUGUUUGAUACGGUUAAGUAUGUUACAAUUGUAACGAAUGAAGGUGGUACCACGGGAGUACCCGUCCUUUUU